UUUUUCUACAUUCUAUUUCUGUAAGGGUUGAUUGCAAAGGCUAGCUUUUCUGUGUAUUUUUUUCCUACAGAAGAAGAAACACCUCAUUUAUAGGUUUGACAUAGCAGAGACUUUAGGUUUCUUGACUCUCUGGUCUGUUACGGUUUUUGUCAUCUAAAUAAGUUGAUUGGUGGAAACCAACUUAUUUAUAACAAGGAAAAGGUAUCAAAUAAAGCUGGAUGGCACCCAGAUAAAAAUGAGUACAAAUCCAAAGGUCAGUUUGAUUGUAUUCUUUAGCCAAAUUGCAAUAAAACUGCUGGCAGGUAUUGGAAUCAGGCCAAGAAGUAUGUAAACAUGCCGAAAUAUUAUUAAGGAUGGGAACCGUACAGAUAUUAUGUUUAAGAAAUAAUAACUUUCUGUUAGCAAUCAGAAACUUUAACAAAGAGGAGAGAAAAUAGCUAGGGAAAUAAAGAAUGACAUAUUGCAGAUAAAGCAUGGGAAUCACUGGUUCUGGUCAUCUGGAUCUUCUUCAUAGAUCUUGAAUGGAAGUUGUCUACUAUUCACAGUUGUUUCCAUGAUCUGAUGGUCUUAAUUUGAAGCUGUCUCCACCCUCAAAAUCUAUGCUUUUGGAGAAUUCCUAAGUUCCUAAGGAUCCUCAGCUUGAAGUCCUGCUAAGACCAUCCUUUCAGUGAUUCACGGAUGAAUUAUAUUUCUUUAAUUGAGAGAUAUAGAUCUUAGAGUCCACACCUUACAGUUUUUCUUUUGUAUUAUGUAUUAAUAGGAUCUGAAAAUAUCAUUUUCAUCAAGCCUCAAGGACACUUUUUUUCCUGUGAUGUCUCUUUCGAAAUCUAAAUCCUCUGGACAUAUAGCGAAGCAAAAUUCUCUUUUAGGUAUGAUACACAACACAAGUAUAAGGAUAUAGUCAAUAAUAACUCUGGGAGUAAGAACACAUUAUGAACAGUGAAGACAUUGACAAACCUCCGGGACCUUUGAUUUGUGCUAUAAAGUAUACUAUGAUCAGCCCUGAUUAACUUGGGAUCCAGAGAACCUUCCCCUUCUGAGCAGCAAAACCAAAUAAAGCAGUUCUCAGGAUACAAAGACAAGACUGAGGAAGAUCCUAAUAAGGUGUUGCAAGGUGACACAGGACAAACUUUGUCCAAAGGAAAUUGAUCUGACAAGAACUUCUGGACUUGUCAGUUCUUAGGGCUGACUGGUCUAUCCUCUUUCUAUUGACUUUGGCUUACUAGACUCAAGCAGAAAGUGACAAGGGAAGAAAAGGAUACAAACAGAAGCAAGUUUCCAAGAACAAGGUUUACAUCAGGAAGAGCCAAUCAAAGAUCAUAUCUGGAGGACUGCUGCAAAGUUGUGAUAAAUGACCAAAUAGUAUUUUUAUAGAAGGUGGAAUGAAUGACAGACUAAAGAUUUCAGCUGAUUAAAGAAAUUAUGGAGUGCAUCAUUCUCAGUUUAUAUUGAACUGGGGUUCCUGAGAAAUUCCUCCUUAUAAAUUUACAUGGAAAUUAUAAUUUUUACUAGUUGAUUUCAGUUAAUUAGCCUACUGAAUAAUUUGAUUCUUGCACUCACUAAAAGAUCAUAGAGCACAAGAAUACCAUUUACAAAAUACUUUAAAAGUGGGGAUAUAAACACAAAUAAGGUCUUGUACCAACCUUGAAGGGAUUUUCAGUCUAGGUAAAAACCAUUUAAAAUAAAAAGAGGGCAUCCUUGUUUUAUUCCUGUAUUUAAGAGAAUGUGUCUUUCAGUGUUUAAAAUAAUGUUUACUGCUGGUUUAUGAUAAAUACUUUAAAAAAUCACAUUAUGGGAAUGUUUUCCAAUUUUCAUUUCCUAAGAGAUUUUUGUCAGGAAUGUAGUUGAAUUUUAUUAAG
rnacentral:lncRNA from 10 species